GGCUCAGUAGUUCAAUGGUAAAGCGCUCGUCGCGAAGACAGAGGGUCCUGGGUUUGAUCCCCAACGAGGUCG
rnacentral:tRNA from 1 species